rnacentral:rRNA from 1 species
AGCGAACGCUGGCGGCAGGCCUAACACAUGCAAGUCGAACGAACUCUUCGGAGUUAGUGGCGGACGGGUGAGGAACACGUCGGAACGUGCCUUUAGGUUCGGAAUAACUCAGGGAAACUUGUGCUAAUACCGAAUGUGCCCUUCGGGGGAAAGAUUUAUCGCCUUUAGAGCGGCCCGCGUCUGAUUAGCUAGUUGGGGAGGUAAAGGCGCACCAAGGCGACGAUCAGUAGCUGGUCUGAGAGGAUGAUCAGCCACAUUGGGACGGGGACACGGCCCAAACUCCUACGGGAGGCAGCAGUGGGGAAUCCUGCGCAAUGGGCGAAAGCCUGACGCAGCCAUGCCGGGUGAAUGAUGAAGGUCUUAGGAUUGUAAAAUUCUUUCACCGGGGACGAUAAUGACGGUACCCGGAGAAGAAGCCCCGGCUAACUUCGUG